UGCUGUGAGUCCAUUAAUCACAGCACCACUGGAUAAAUCAAGUGAAACUUUCUUUGGGUUGAGCGAUUUAUUCCUAAGAAAUUCAUGGCUGUUAUCAGUCUAAUCAAUCACACCUGUGGAAGAAAAUGUUUGGAUCAGGAGGUGUUUUGAGGUUUUGCUUGUCAUUUUUACACCAGUGUUUUGUCUAAAACAGUCACUGCUGAAAUAAUGUUCUGUGAUGGGAGACGUUUUAGUCUCAGGUCGACACUUUUGGAAAGCUUUCAGUCAUCAAAACGGUUAAAAUUCAUUUUAAGCUUAAAUUUGGACUGAGUGCAGCAGCUGCAGAUCCUGAUAAUGAGCUUUGUGAAGGACUGAUCCUCGCUGGAGCAACACAUAUCUAAUGUUUACCUGUGAACUUACCAGACGAUCCUGUGCUGCCUGUUGUGGACUCCACUGAUUAAGCUCACUCACCUGAUCUCUGCCUCUCACCCUCCUGGUAAUCCUCACCUGCUCAGUUGUCCUGUCUGCCAGCCACCCUGCUCACACUCACCUGUGGAUCCAUGCCCUCUCCUCUGUGCUGCUUUUCACCCAUGAACCUCAGGAUAAAUACUCACCUGCAUACUACCUUGAACUCGCAUAACUUACCUGCGAGUACUUACCACCUUCUCUUCCAGAUCUGGAUCCUGUUUCCCCUGACACUGUAAACAAUGAUUACUUUUUGUAAACUUGCCUCUUGUGUCUGCUUGCUGCCAACCGCUCCACUUUUGAACCUGACACCUGUAAACCUGAUAAAAGGAAUUUCUUAUUCUAUGAAAUAAUUUGAUGCCAAAGUUGACUUUCAAAUCUUUAAACUGCAGCAAAACAGAGAUAAAAACAUUUCAAGCAAGUGUGUUUUUUAUAAUAAAAGGACACAUGUUUUAACUAAAUGCCUAGUUAGAAUCUUUUUGUAAAUUAUGUUUUGUUUG